rnacentral:rRNA from 1 species
AUUGAACGCUGGCGGCAGGCCUAACACAUGCAAGUCGAGCGGGGUUUUCGGACCUAGCGGCGGACGGGUGAGUAAUGCGUAGGAAGCUGCCCGAUAGAGGGGGAUACCAGUUGGAAACGACUGUUAAUACCGCAUAAUGUCUACGGACCAAAGUGUGGGACCUUCGGGCCACAUGCUAUCGGAUGCGCCUACGUGGGAUUAGCUAGUUGGUGAGGUAAUUGCUCACCAAGGCGACGAUCUCUCGCUGGUUUGAGAGGAUGAUCAGCCACACUGGAACUGAGACGCGGGCCAGACUCCUACGGGAGGCAGCAGUGGGGAGUAUUGGACAAUGGGGGCAAGCCUGAUCCAGCCAUGCCGCGUGUGUGAAGAAGGCCUUCGGGUUGUAAAGCACUUUCAGCGAGGAGGAAGGGGUGUGUGUUAAUAGUACACACCUUUGACGUUACUCGCAGAAGAAGCACCGGCUAACUCUGUGCCAGCCGCCGCCGUAAUAC